UCUCUUUCUGUCCCAUGCAGAUGUUUGGGAUUCUCUGCUGUGCUGAGGACACAGAAAAUGGACAUCAGAGGCUCACCAUGUAAAUGAAUAGCAUGCCAAAAGCUCAAGAGCACAUGUUAGAGGAGCAGCUUGGAAACAACACAAGCCGACUCUAGUCUGCGGUAUCCGUGAGCCAAAGUGGGCAAGUGGACAGGCCCUCGAAACGAAAAUAAGAAUCCAAAUCAGAUGUAACAAGAAACCAAGCAUAUGUUGAACACUCUGAAAUCCCAUUGGCUUCAGUGAGAAAGAUCUAAUUGCCUCCCUAUUUUUCCCAUGCACCUUUUCGGGCUUGGCAGUACAGUACUCAGCUCAUGUCUAUGAAGCAAGUCAUUGAUGUCUCCAAGUUACCUGUACACAUUACAAACUGGAGCUAAAAUGAAUGCUCUCCUUCCUUCCCUUUCAUGGCAGAGCAAGGUGGUGACUCCCUCAGGCUAUGAAAAACACCAACUGGCAGAUGGCCCUUACCUUGGAUCAGAUUUCCAGCUUUGACCAAAUUCUAUGUAU